rnacentral:rRNA from 1 species
AACGAACGCUGGCGGCAUGCCUAACACAUGCAAGUCGAACGAGACCUUAGGGUCUAGUGGCGCACGGGUGCGUAACGCGUGGGAAUCUGCCCUUCGGUUGGGAAUAACUGAGAGAAAUUUCAGCUAAUACCUUAUAAUGUCUUCGGACCAAAGAUUUAUCGCCGAGGGAUGAGCCCGCGUAGGAUUAGGUAGUUGGUGGGGUAAUGGCCUACCAAGCCGACGAUCCUUAGCUGGUCUGAGAGGAUGAUCAGCCACACUGGGACUGAGACACGGCCCAGACUCCUACGGGAGGCAGCAGUGGGGAAUAUUGUACAAUGGGCGAAAGCCUGAUCCAGCAAUGCCGCGUGAGUGAUGAAGGCCUUAGGGUUGUAAAGCUCUUUUACCCGGGAUGAUAAUGACAGUACCGGGAGAAUAAGCUCCGGCUAACUCCGUGCCAGCCGCCGCCGUAA